rnacentral:rRNA from 1 species
UACGUAGGGUGCGAGCGUUGUCCGGAUUUAUUGGGCGUAAAGCGCUCGCAGGUGGUCCGAUACGUCGUGCGUGAAAGCCCCCGGCUCAACUGGGGAGUGUCGUGCGAUACGGUCGGACUGGAGGCCAGUAGGGGGAUGCGGAAUUCCGGGUGUAGUGGUGGAAUGCGUAGAGAUCCGGAGGAACACCAGCGGCGAAGGCGGCAUCCUGGACUGGUCCUGACACUCAUGAGCGAAAGCGUGGGGAGCGAUCAGG